GAUGAACGCUGGCGGCGUGCCUAACACAUGCAAGUCGAGCGAACAGACGAGGAGCUUGCGCCGUUGACGUUAGCGGCGGACGGGUGAGUAACACGUGGAUAACCUACCUAUAAGACGGGGAAAAUUACGGGAAACGGGAGCAAAUACGGGAGAAUAUAUUGAACCGCAGGGUGCAAUGGAGAAUGACGGCUGUGGGGGAUGGAAUAGAGGGUUCCGCGCCGCAUUAGCUAGUUGGUAAGGUAACGGCUUACCAAGGCAACGAUGCGUAGCCGACCUGAGAGGGUGAUCAGCCACACUGGAACUGAGACACGCUCCAGACUCCUACGGGAGGCAGCAGUAGGGAAUCUUCCGCAAUGGGCGAAAGCCUGACGGAGCAACGCCGCGUGAGUGAUGAAGGUCUUCGGAUCGUAAAGCUCUGUUAUUAGGGAAGAACAAAUGUGUAAGUAACUAUGCACGUCUUGACGGUACCUAAUCAGAAAGCCACGGCUAACUACGUG
rnacentral:rRNA from 1 species